rnacentral:rRNA from 1 species
UACGUAGGGACCAAGCGUUGUUCGGAUUUACUGGGCGUAAAGGGCGCGUAGGCGGCGUGGUAAGUCACUUGUGAAAUCUCCGAGCUUAACUCGGAACUGCCAAGUGAUACUGCUGUGCUAGAGUGCAGAAGGGGCAACCGGAAUUCUUGGUGUAGCGGUGAAAUGCGUAGAUAUCAAGAGGAACACCUGAGGUGAAAACGGGUUGCUGGGCUGACACUGACGCUGAGGCGCGAAAGCUAGGGUAGCAAACGGG